rnacentral:rRNA from 1 species
UACGGAGGAUGCAAGCGUUAUCCGGAAUGAUUGGGCGUAAAGCGUCCGCAGGUGGCUGUGUAAGUCUGCUGUCAAAGAGCGAAGCUCAACUUCGUAAAGGCAGUGGAAACUACACGGCUAGAGUGCGUUCGGGGCAGAGGGAAUUCCUGGUGUAGCGGUGAAAUGCGUAGAGAUCAGGAAGAACACCGGUGGCGAAGGCGCCCUGCUAGGCCGCAACUGACACUGAGGGACGAAAGCUAGGGGAGCGAAUGGG